rnacentral:rRNA from 1 species
CCUACGGUGGGCAGCAGUGGGGAAUAUUGCGCAAUGGGCGAAAGCCUGACGCAGCGACGCCGCGUGAGGGAUGAAGGUCUUCGGAUCGUAAACCUCUGUCAGCAGGGAAGAACGGUCACUGUGCUAAUCAGCAGGGAAUUGACGGUACCUGCAAAGGAAGCACCGGCUAACGCCGUGCCAGCAGCCGCGGUAAUACGGAGGGUGCGAGCGUUAAUCGGAAUGACUGGGCGUAAAGCGCUCGUAGGCGGUAUGUCAAGUCAAGGGUGAAAUCCCCGCGCUCAACGUGGGAACUGCAUGUGAAACUGGCAAACUGGAGUGUGUGAGAGGAUAGUGGAAUUCCAGGUGUAGGAGUGAAAUCCGUAGAUAUCUGGAGGAACAUCAGUGGCGAAGGCGACUAUCUGGCACAUAACUGACGCUGAGGAGCGAAAGCGUGGGUAGCAAACAGGAUUAGAUACCCCAGUAGUC